CUCUCUCUCUCUCUCUCUCUCUCUAAGUACCCCUUUCCUCUCUCUGGCACACGCAUAUGGCGUUGUCUCGUUUCUUCCUAUCGGAAGCAGAGCUCCGAUUGCCCAAGAAAGGCUUUCCGAGAUCGCGAAGAUGGUUCGCUUCUCCUCCUCGUGCUCCUCCUCCUCCUCCUAAGAAGGUCUCCAAUAAUGCUGAAGCCACCAAAGAGAGGAAGAUAGAAGCUGUAAAGUCGUUCAUUCAAAGAUAUAUGGGAACACAUCCUGGUGUCUUUCCUAAGCCAAAAGAAGUUCGUGAUGAAGUGGGUGGAUCAUGGUACAUUGUAAAAGAUAUCUUAGCAAAAAUGAAAACAAAAUUGCUGCCUGAAUCUCUAAGUGACAACCAGAUUGCAAGUUCAGAAUUGCACAUUACAGCAGAGGAAACUCCUGAGACUACAGUUAUAAAAGAAAAUUCAGAUAGUGGAGAGCUGGACAUGCCUGGAAAAGGAUUUGCUUUGUCAACAGAGCCGUUGAAUGUAACAGAAUCUCAUAGCGCACCAGAUAUAGAUACAGCAGCGCUAUCAUCUGCAAGAAGUUUGGAGGAUACAGAACUAUUUGAAAAAGAACAAAUGGAACAAUCAGUAAAUAGUCUUGCAUCUUCUAAAACGGUGGGGAGCUGGCAGCAAUCUCACUCCCUUAAUCAUGUUGCUGAGGAUGAAGAAAAGUCUAUCAGCAUGCAUGAACAUGAGGCUCAAUUAACAGAAGCUACACCGAAUGGUAAUGAAGAGUACCUGACAGACAAAAAAUGCCAGGAAUCGAAUCAGAACUCUCAAGCAACAAAUGUUAAUUUCCUGACACCUAAUCAGAGUUCCCCAUCAAUUGACAUCGCAGCAUCAGAUCAAAAGGUCAUUAAUUUGGUUGAGUUUUCUAAAAGAACUACAGAAGAAGUGGGGUUAAAGUGCAGAAAGACCGACACUUUGAAACAUGAGACAUCUGGUUUGAGAGGGGAAAACAAACAUGUCAGUGGUUUAGUGGAUCUAUUCAAAAGAAAACGAAAAGACUCCAAAGAUGAUGAUGUAAUCGACAAGAAAUAUAUAAGGCAAGACAAGUCCUUGAAUCCAAAAGAGGAAAUUAGAGAGGAUUCUGAGAGGAAAUCAGAAGUCAAAGAUCUUCUUAACCGAAUAAUGAAACUUUCAAAAGAUGCACAUAAGGCUGGAUCUUGGGCAGCUAUACCUAAUAAUGAAAUUGACAAGGGAGUGAGGGGUUUUGUUGAUGAAAGUAUAAAGCUACUGACUUUGAAUGAUGAAAGCGAGUACAGGAAAUCUGCAGGGCAGACAGACGGAGAGGAACCAAAGGAAGUAAAUACAUUACAUUCAGAGGUGAGAGAUAAUACCCAGAAGAGUCAACCCAGUGACUACAAUGUUGUAAAUAUGAAUCUUCAAUUAAAUAAAAAUGGAAAAGCAAUGGGGUCCCCGGAUAUAUUGGAGUCCGAACUUUUGAGUGAAGCAAGUGAUUCUGAUAUUGCAGCAUUUGACUAUCAAGAGCCGGAGUCACAGGAUGAGGUUGCUUUGUCAACUCAACCACAGAAUUUGGAUGCUUUUCUAAAAGAAGGAACAGGAAAUCAUGAAAACCGCCUCUUGGUGAAUUUUUUGCUGAAAGCAGCCAAGAUCAAUGAUAUUGGUCGUGCUUUCCGUGAUUGUGGGCCGAUUAAUGAAAUCCGUGUUGUUCGCACAAGAAUAGAGAACAGAUACAACUAUGCUUAUGUUUGUUUCAAGACAGAAGAGGGGCUGGUUAAAGCUCUAAGUAAGACUGAUGUGGCUGUAUGCGGUGCAGAUGUUGUUGUAGAGGCAGCUUCUCCUAUAGAGUUUCACAGCAGAUUGUCUAACGUGGAGCCUGCCAAAGAUGGAGAUUUCCCUUCAGCUUUUCUCCAAAAUCCAACUCGGACAGUAGUGGUGAAAGGGUUGCCAGAAAAUACACCAUUUUAUCAGCUGAAACAUGCACUAUCAUUCUGGGGGCGCAUCUCUGGCCUUGCCAUGGGCUCCACGGGAUCCAGUGUUUAUGUUGAGUAUGAGGUAGAAAAAAUAGUUUUCCCGUCUCAAGCUCUUCAGACUUCAGAUUUCAUCCUGCUUCAAAGGAUUCAGGUCAGAAGAAUCAAAGGAAAUGGCUCUUGCAGUAGCCACUGUGUCUAUACUAGGAAAGAAGCUUAUGAUCUACAGGAUUGAUGCACCCAAAACGACUGUUGUGAGAAUCUCAAGAGUGAACUCCCAUACCGGAAUAACAAGGAUUCAGAACAUAUGUGAAUCCUAUGGGCAAGUCAAGAGAAUAAUUGGCAGAGAUGUUGACACUUUUGACGUGCACUUCAAAUUGUCUGAAUACGGCAACAUGCUGAAGAUCCUAAACAGAUUGAAUGGUAUGGUGGUUGAUCACCAUAAGUGGGUUGCACAACCUGCAACAGUCAUUCCAGCUGAAAUACUUCAAACUCUAUGGAGCAAACCUCAGGGCCGAAAGCAUGUGCACAAACUGAUCCAAAAUCUUUGCAGAAAAAUAGAAGAGAAAAACAUAGAUACUUCACGUAUGCUCAGUCUUGCACAAGAACACUAUGGGGAUAGCUGAGUUAUAUAGGAAGGACUUUGUUCAUUCAUCCCAUUUUUGUUUUGAAGUUGUAGUUUCAUUGAUAGCAUCUUCUCUUCUUACAUUGAAGGAUCCCAGAGACGAAAGAAAAUGGGAGGAAACACCAUUUUGAUGAUGUGGAAUUUGCAAUAUCUGAAAUAUACAUGGCAUUCAUUUUGGUAUGCUGAUUUUUUUUUUUUGAAAUGUUUGAUACGCUGAUAGUUGUGCUUAUAUGGAUGUUAAAUUAACCAUAUUCUUGUUUAAGCUUAUAAAAUGCUAAGUUGCCAGUGCGAACUUGCUGCAUUAAUUGCAACAUAUGUGGCUAUUGCUGUGGACUUCUGAA